UUUGUUAAGGAGAAUAUCCGAUAUGAUGAAUUAUGUCACUCCAGUGUUCAGGAGGAACUCCGAAAAAUCAGAAUAGAACUUCCUCUUGGAUCACGUGACACAGGACGCCACAGAACUGGGUCUGUUGGAAGACGGUCCUCUAUCAGAGUUUCAAGGUUUAGAUUGAGAUCAUCCAGCCAGCAGCCACGAACACAAGAAACCGGUUAUUACCGAAUAGACGAAAAUUUCCGGCUACAACCAGUUAUAAACAACACGGCUUACAUGGUUAUGUAGAAUGCAAAAGAUCUUAAAACCGGUUAUUACCGAAUAGACGAAAAUUUCCGGCUACAACUGCAGUUAUAAACAACACGACUUACAUGUUUAUGUAGAAUGAUAAAAGAUUUUAAAAACCAAUUAUACCAGAUGGUCGAAAUCUUCCAGUUACUGCAGCCAGUUUUAAACAACACACCCCAGUCUAAAAGUUGCUUGAUCCGUGCCGGUACAAUACAUUCUGUAUAUACAGUCCGUUGUACUGUCCAGUCAGGCUACCCAGUGCAGAGUCGACCUGGCACGUUUUUUGCAACAAAUGUAGCCGGACAAAAUCACAGUGGACACCGCCUUCAAGACAUUACAUUACAUAUUCAUGUAAAUUUCAAAAACCUAUAGUCAUAAUCAAGACCGUAAAAAAGUAAAAAAAAACCUAAGAACUGGUUAUUUCUGGAAAGAGGUGAAUUUUCGGUUACAGCCAGUUAUAAAUUCGUAAUAUUUAAAGAUCUAAAGAUCAGUUUUUUUCCAGAAAAUCUCGAAUAGUUAUGUAAUACUAAUGUGAAUGUAAUAUGUAAAAUCUUAAAAGACAUAAAAUCAAAUAUAUAAUC